GUCUCGGUGGUGUAGUGGUAAUACGCACCCCCGGUAUGAGUGAAAAGCGAGUUCUACUCCCGCCUGAGACC